CAUAGGAAAGGGAGGAGUGGUAUAUGAAGGGAGGGGUUGGUUCUCUAGUCCAUCACUCGGAGACAAAUGCACACCGAAAAUGAAGGAAAACAUUGGGAAAUACUUCCAAGUCACCUACUUUGCCGACUAUGAGACGGAUCCUCAAAAUAAUCCAUUGCUAAAGGCAGCUGCACUCCUGCUGGAGGAUGGACUGAAGAAGAAUGUCGUCAGUCAUAGCAUGCAGUUUAUGGAGGUAAAAAUUGUAAAAGGAGACAAAGUAACUUUUCAGUCAUUGUAUAACUAAAUAAAAACAAUUUUUACAAAA